GAAAUGCGAUAAGUAAUGUGAAUUGCAGAAUUCAGUGAAUCAUCGAAUCUUUGAACGCACAUUGCGCCCGCCAGUAUUCUGGCGGGCAUUCCUGUUCGAGCGUCAUUUCAACCAUCAAGCCCCGGGCUUGUGUUGGGGACCUGCGGCUGCCGCAGGCCCUGAAAACCAGUGGCGGGCUCGCUGUCACACCGAGCGUAGUAGAUUCUCAUCUCGCUCAGGGCGUGCUGCGGGUUCCGGCCGUAAAACAGCCUUAUUUUACCCAAGGUUGACCUCGGAUCAGGUAGGAAGACCCGCUGAACUUAAGC
rnacentral:misc_RNA from 1 species